UACACGAACGACACCGCUUCGAGUAACUACAAUACAAUGGCUUCCAUCUUUAACCUGAGCCUGAUUGCCCUGGUGGUGAUGAUGAUGGCGGCUGGCGCCAUUGCUGAUCCUGAUCCUAAACCUUUCCCUGCGCCUGGCAAAGGCAAAGGCGGGGGCAAAGGAAAGGGUAAAGGACACUAAAGAAAGAACGAUGACCUUAUUGGAAACUCCGCAAACUUUGAUUCGAUUUAGGGUACUUUCUUUCAUUUUGAAAGGUACUUUAUGAAUAAACUUGGUUGGGAAAUA